AACAACUAGAUUAGAAGCUUGCUUUCUCAUUACUCUUUUUGUACAUGGUUGUUUCUAAUUCACAUCAGUUUAAUUUUUGUUUGAAAGGGGUUAUUUUAAUUUCUAGCUAUCUGAAGACUUCACCGCUCUGUAGUCACAGUGACUACAGUGAAGAAAUAUGACUCAGCUUUGAAGUCUGAGGAUAAAGACAACACAGAGGACUGGAAAGCACACGUGAACUCAUCUUUUUACAGAAGCCUUGAACAGCACAGCAAGCUUCUCAGCCUUAGCAAGAAGACCUGGCAGAUAUGCCAUUUGAGGUGUAUUUUAAUAAGAAACAUUGCUCUCCUGGGCAGGAAAAUAAUUAGGCUCACCUGACUUUUCUUUUUUAAAGAGAAAGGAAGCCCCCAGAAGCCCUAAGAUUUCAGCAUGGUACAGAAGGAGCAAUGAAUAAACCAUUCUCAUGGGAUGCCAACUUGGUCCAUGAGGUCAAAGCUACAGAACACUUUAAUGAAAAUCCUUGACAACUAAUGAAAAUCUUUCACUGGCUCAAGAAGGACUUCAAAGUGGCAGAGCUGCCACAGAAGAAAUAGCAGUCCCAGAAAUAAGUUUUUAGGUGAAUACACCUAGGGAAAUGGAUACUCUGUUGAAGCAAGUGCUGUAUUCCCCUGAAAGCUUUGGAUACGUAUCUCCACUUGGUGCAACAGAAUGUAAUGCUAUGCAGAGAAACUUCAACAAGUCAUCCAUUGUAAGGGCACUGAAAUAUCGCCAAAUUAAGAAACAGCCUCAUAUAUAGCAAAAAGCUCUGACAGACAAUGUUUUUGACUCUUGAGGCAGUGGUUUAAGAUGAAAGCAUCCCUAGCUGUUUGCCCCACCCACCAGUCAGAGGUUAGAACCCUUGCAGCAAGGGCAGUGAAGAACAUGCAUCCCUGCCUCCCUGUCUCCAUUUUGGGAAGCAGCAAACAGUGCAACCAGCUACAGAGGCUAGCACUGAGCACAGCCUGUGACCUGAAGCAGCUCAGUACAAGUGUAUUUCCUGAUCUGUCAGUUCAGUUCUGCCAGGAGGCAGCUUAAAGGAGUGAGUGGAGAUGUUUGAAUACAAAACUGCAAUGUUUAGGAAGGGAAGUCUUUGAGUCCCAAACAUUUAUGAUUUGCUGUCUCUGAUUCUGCCACUGAAGCUGGCCACUUGUGCUGUCUUUACACUUGUGCCAAUCUUGAAUCUCAGUUCUGCCUCUGAAAAUAGAUGCAGUAUAACUACAUAGCAAUAAAAUCAUAUUAAUCU
rnacentral:lncRNA from 7 species